rnacentral:rRNA from 1 species
AGGCCAGACUCCUACGGGAGGCAGCAGUGGGGAAUAUUGCACAAUGGGGGAAACCCUGAUGCAGCGACGCCGCGUGAGUGAAGAAGUAUUUCGGUAUGUAAAGCUCUAUCAGCAGGGAAGAAAAUGACGGUACCUGACUAAGAAGCCCCGGCUAACUACGUGCCAGCAGCCGCGGUAAUACGUAGGGGGCAAGCGUUAUCCGGAUUUACUGGGUGUAAAGGGAGCGCAGACGGCAGUGCAAGUCUGGAGUGAAAGCCCGUGGCUUAACUACGGGACUGCUCUGGAAACUGUGCAGCUAGAGUGCAGGAGAGGCAGGCGGAAUUCCGUGUGUAGCGGUGAAAUGCGUAGAUAUACGGAGGAACACCAGUGGCGAAGGCGGAUUGCUGGACAGUAACUGACGCUGAGGCGCGAAAGCGUGGGGAGCAAACAGGAUUAGAUACCCGUGUAAC